rnacentral:rRNA from 1 species
CCUACGGGAGGCAGCAGUGGGGAAUAUUGCACAAUGGGGGAAACCCUGAUGCAGCGACGCUGCGUGAGUGCAGAAGUAUUUCGGUAUGUAACGCUCUAUCAGCAGGGAAGAAACUGACGGUACCUGACUAAGAAGCCCCGGCUAACUACGUGCCAGCAGCCGCGGUAAUACGUAGGGGGCAAGCGUUAUCCGGAUUUACUGGGUGUAAAGGGAGCGUAGACGGCAGCGCAAGUCUGAAGUGAAAUCCCAUGGAUUAACCAUGGAACUGCUUUGGAAACUGUGCAGCUGGAGUGCAGGAGAGGUAAGCGGAAUUCCUAGUGUAGCGGUGAAAUGCGUAGAUAUUAGGAGGAACACCAGUGGCGAAGGCGGCUUACUGGACUGUAACUGACGUUGAGGCUCGAAAGCGUGGGGAGCAAACAGGAUUAGAUACCCGGGUAGUC